rnacentral:rRNA from 1 species
GACGAACGCUGGCGGCGCGCUUAACACAUGCCAGUCGAACGGAAAGGCCUGCUUUCCCUUGUGGAUUGCGGGUACUCGAGUGGCUAACGGGUGAGUAACACGUGAGUGAUCUGCCCCCAACUUGGGUAUAAGCCUGGGAAACUGGGUCUAAUUCCCGAUAGGACUGCAGGGUGGUGCCUGUGGUGGAAAACGUUUUUCUAGUGGUUGGGGAUGAGCGCGCGGCCUAUCAGCUUGUUGGUGGGGUAAUUGCCUACCAAGGCGGCGACGGGUAGCCGGCCUGGGAGGGUGGACGGCCACAUUGGGACUGAGAUACGGCCCAGACUCGUACGGGAGGUAGCAGUGGGGAAUAUUGCACCAUGGGCGGAAGCCUGAUGCAGCGACGCCGCGUGGGGGAUGACGGCCUUCGGGUUGUAAACUCCUUUCGACCGAGAGGAAGCCACCUGGUUGGAAGGGUGGUGAUGGUAGUGGUAGAAGAAGCACCGGCUAACUACGUG